rnacentral:lncRNA from 1 species
AAUGGACCCGAAACCGCUGCUUAAAGACAUGGUUUUUUGUAGUGAAACAAAAAUACUAUAACAUAUGUUGUUUGACUUUUUUAAUAAUUUUUUUGAGCUGUCUCGAUGUGCGUACAUAGAGUGAGUAAGCUAUGAUUAGGGGUGGACAAAACCCGAAAGUCCAGCCCAAACCGCCCAAAACCAUUGAAAAUAACCGAACCGGGUCGGGUUCAUAUACAAAACGAGUUCAAAAUGCCCAAAACUCGGUUUCUUGUGGAUUGGAGUGGUCGGGUUCAGUUUGGUUUUUCCAAUCCAUGGGUAACCGAACCGACCCAUCACUAGUUUUUUUCUUUCAAGUUUCAACAGCAUAUUGUACACUAGAAGGCUAGAAAGUAGUUUUUAAUGAUGAUGUCAUAUGUCUACCGAUAAAUAUCUCAUGACUUACACCACCUCAAUACUGCAACUUUAUAUUUAUUACUCUGUUUAUUUACUAGCAUUGAAAAUACAAAUCAAUGCUUUGCAUACUAAACAUCAUUUUUUUUCUUCUCUCUCUAUGUCAAAUUAAAUUCAACAGAGUGUUGGUCCUUUUAUUUUUAAUCCUUUGUUUUCUACUCUUGAAUGUAAAAAAUCCUGUCUUUUACUUUUUACUUUUUUUUAUGAAUUCUCUUCCUUCACAUAUUGAAACUACCUUCUUAUACUUGCUUGUUUCUCUUCUAUCAGAUCUAUUUCCACUUCAAACGCCUUAAAUCAUGCUUAAAUUUGUUUAUAUCCAUCUCUUUUGCACUAGAUCUGUUUUGUUUCUUUGUCUUUCUAUACUGGUUUUUUUCUUUCCAUAUUGAUAAUAAAGUGUUGAUCUAUUUGAUAAUUUUUCUGGAUUUUUUCUUUGCAAGAUCUAUUUUUUAUGAUGUUUCUGAAAUUUUUUUAUUA